GUACGGAUGGUGCGAGCGUUGUUCGGAAUUACUGGGCGUAAAGGGCGCGUAGGCGGCGAUGUAAGUCAAAUGUGAAAGUCCUCGGCUUAACCGGGGAAGUGCAUCUGAAACUGCAUUGCUUGAGUAUGGGAGAGGAAAGUGGAAUUCCCGGUGUAGAGGUGAAAUUCGUAGAGAUCGGGAGGAAUACCGGUGGCGAAGGCGACUUUCUGGACCAAUACUGACGCUGAGGCGCGAAAGCGUGGGGAGCAAACAGGAUUAGAAACCCGAGUAGUCC
rnacentral:rRNA from 1 species